GCAGUCGAACGGUGAACACGGAGCUUGCUCUGUGGGAUCAGUGGCGAACGGGUGAGUAACACGUGAGCAACCUGCCCCUGACUCUGGGAUAAGCGCUGGAAACGGCGUCUAAUACUGGAUAUGUGACGUGACCGCAUGGUCUGCGUCUGGAAAGAAUUUCGGUUGGGGAUGGGCUCGCGGCCUAUCAGCUUGUUGGUGAGGUAAUGGCUCACCAAGGCGUCGACGGGUAGCCGGCCUGAGAGGGUGACCGGCCACACUGGGACUGAGACACGGCCCAGACUCCUACGGGAGGCAGCAGUGGGGAAUAUUGCACAAUGGGCGCAAGCCUGAUGCAGCAACGCCGCGUGAGGGACGACGGCCUUCGGGUUGUAAACCUCUUUUAGCAGGGAAGAAGCGAAAGUGACGGUACCUGCAGAAAAAGCGCCGGCUAACUACGUGCCAGCAGCCGCGGUAAUACGUAGGGCGCAAGCGUUAUCCGGAAUUAUUGGGCGUAAAGAGCUCGUAGGCGGUUUGUCGCGUCUGCUGUGAAAUCCGGAGGCUCAACCUCCGGCCUGCAGUGGGUACGGGCAGACUAGAGUGCGGUAGGGGAGAUUGGAAUUCCUGGUGUAGCGGUGGAAUGCGCAGAUAUCAGGAGGAACACCGAUGGCGAAGGCAGAUCUCUGGGCCGUAACUGACGCUGAGGAGCGAAAGGGUGGGGAGCAAACAGGCUUAG
rnacentral:rRNA from 1 species